AGUUGUAGACCCUGUGCUAAUUGACAGCGGUGGGUACGGGGACCAACCCUCGCAGGAAGAUGCCUAUGGACGCCGCCUCCUGCCCCUCCUGCCUGCCUCGUCGUUGAGGGCCGUCCCGGGGCUCAGUCCACGGUCUUCUUCUUGUAUUGGACGCUGCCUCAUCAUUCAUUCUUGUUAGCGAGCGGGUUAGCGGCAUUUAGCCUCCUCAUCAUCUGCCCCCCCCCACCGCCCCCCGUUGGUCUUGCAUAGCUAGAUUGAAACCGCUAACGUGUUUUUUCCCCACUCCCCGUUAUCCGAGGUUCAUUUAAAUUCCGUUGCUCGUUUGACUUUGCAUCCAGAAAGAGUGGAGGUGGUGGGAAACCCACACAUUUCGACUCAGACAACGUGACUGUAUGCAUGCCAUGAGCGACGAGGACCGCUAGUUGCCUGAGAUAAGCAGCAGCAGCAGCAGCAGCAGCAGCGGCGGCGAGCAAGGCUAAAAAGGACCGGUUGUUGAAAGCAACGCUGAUUUAGUAUUUCACCCAAAAUACGACCGGCACAGCAAGGUUUUCCACGGAACAGGAAGCCAGACUUCAGGCCAGACAUGGCAGUCAGAAAUCCCUGAACAACACACAAACACACAGACAUUUGAUCAUGAAAUAAAAACCUGGGAGCAGUG